AGCACUGACAGGCACGCCAUUUUAAGAGCCGUGGAAAUUAACACAUGUUGGUCAUUAGGCAUCAGGCCUCAAGGAUAUUAAAUCAGGACCUGAGAAGCAGAGGUAGGUGAAAAUAUUAAUUUUAAUCAAAAUUAUAAAUAUAAACCCAAGCAUAGGAAGCAUCUUUCUUUAAGGAUUUACCUUUCACGUCUAUGGUCUGUCUUCCUGCCAUAUGAGAAGACCUAAGAAUUUUAAUUUUAAGGAUCCGACCAUCCUCAGAUACUAUGUUAGUAACAGUAAGAAAACAUCAGUGCUUUGUUGUCCUGUGAAUCUCUUUUCUUUUCUUAGCUACAAAUUAAAAUUAAGCCAUGAAACAUCUAAAUAUAUAUGUCUAUGAAUGGGAUCCAGGGUCGUGUAAAUUUAAUUUUGGACAGAAAACAAAAUGAAUAUGAAGAAGUACUGUCAAAGGUCUUCCAUGAGCUCAGCAUUGUUUGGGCAUAUAGAAGACACUAUUUCAUUUUUUACUAUAAAACUGAGAAGUGGGUAUUUCUAUUGCUACUUUACAGAUGAGGAGGCUGAACCUCAGAAAGAUUAAAUAAUACUCGCCGUGGCUGGGAUUCCACCUCAGGUCUGUGUGACUGAAGCUGGUGCCCUUCCUGUGCCAUUACCCUUCCUCUGUAAAUUCAUUUCACGUGAUUUUAAAAACCUUUGAUUUUUGUUUUCCGAUCAAAGAUGCAGACUUUAAAUCACGGUCCUAUAUCUCUUUUGAUAAAUUAGAAAUCAGCAUUCACAGUUACCUGCAGGCUGCUCCGUCCCUCUCUGAAUCCAACGAAAUCCCAGGAGCCAGUCUGCAAUGGCUUUUCACUUGCUAAUCAGAAGGAUUUCACAAAUAGUCUUUAACAUCUCCAUGGCUAAGGGCCUAAAAGUGAAAUGACCGAGAGCUGAGACAACCAAAUGCCUCUAGCCUGAGGCCAGAGCACCCCAAUGGGGAGGGGCAGCCAUAUGUUCAGUGCCUUUACUCUGAAUCUUCUGAGGAUCUGCGAGAUUUUUCUUUCCCCUGGGCCCUGGCCCAGAAGGGGAUAGAUGGGGAGCCCUGCAUUCUACCCAUGUUGGUGAGCCCCAAACUGCUUUUGCUGCUUCACUCCUGCCAGCACUGCCUCCUGAAGCCCGUGUCUUAGGCCACACAUCCCCGGCCUUUUCCCAGGAGCGCCUUGGCUGCCAAUUGUCCCUUUUAAGCUGUCCUGAAACCCACUCCUGACCGGCCCCAUCUCCAUCCUGCGUAGGCGUUGAUGUCUGCCUGGGUAAGACUGGAUUUGCCAAAUUCCUUUUAGAAUUUGAUUUAUAGUUGUAAGCUCUCUUUGUGGGAUCUCUUAUUGGAUUGACUGUUUUAUAGUUUGCCUUAAAAGCCCCCUUAUUUCCUCUUUGCUUUCAUCCUUACUUAGGACCCCAACCCCGCUUAGUGUAUUCAUUCCCAGGGAGCCAAAGCUUCAGGCCAAAGAAUAAGUUCUCUUUGAGAUUAAUUACUAUUUCUGUUCCAUUUAUAGUGUAUGAAGAUUUAAUGAUAGAAGUUAAAAAGCUGUAAACUGUGGUUAAUAAGAAAUGCCAAGGUCUGAAUUCUUUAACUUCUUCUAAACACUUCUCUCUUCACUUCUCAAGAUAUCUCUCUUCCCCAUGCCUCCACUACCUACCAAACUGCCUUAUUUUCUCUGUCUUUUUUCUUCUCGUCCUGCUCUCAUCUUUCACCUCAGUUCUUUCCCCAGGUGCCUCUCCCUUUAACUUCCAAAAGAAGAAGUCAUAUGCAUAUAAUUUUAUCUAUUGAAAUAAUCUCUUUUCCUGUUGUCGUUUUUAAAAUUGAGCACGUGUAAACUUUCAUUUGCCGUCAGAGCUUAGGCCCAGUGUCUAGAAUAUAGCCGAGUCUUAAGUAAUGUUUUGAGUAGACAAGUGGUCCUCUUUUUGCCCUUGAAACAAAUUUUUAAAAAUAUAUGAUCUAAGCUAACUAGAUUUUUUAAAAAGUUCAAUCAAUCAUUCAAAUAUUAAUCAAGAAUAGUCUCUGGCCUUAAUGCUGAGCUAAGGUCUGUGAAGGGCACUGGGCAAGGAUGAUCGUUACCCCAGUUAGCUUACAAGCUAUUGGGGAUACAAGAGUAUGACCCAUAAAACAACUGGGGAAAUAUGAGGGAAAAAACCACAAUUAGAGGCUGAGUUGUGCAGUGUAAACUGUAGGUGCUAUGAACACACAGGCAGGAGGUCUCAGUGACUGUGGUACUUGGUUAAUUUUUCUGGGAAAAGAUUGAUAGGAAAGUAACAUGUAUAAUAAUAGCCAUCAACAAACAAACAAAACAAAUUUCCAAUCCUGGUUUAAGACUUUCUACCAAUUUUGACUUUGCUUUCCAAAGUGUGGAUCUUAUAAGCUAGUGAAGUUUUAUUUUUGAGGCAAAUGUUGAUAACUGUCCGGUCUCAAUUGAUGGCUAAUACAUUUGAGACGGAGUUAUCUGAAUAUUUUUUGCCACUGCAAGCUUUCCACAGGGAGUAAAAUCCUUUCAUUUUAUUUUUAGUUUCAGGAAAUUGACAUCAUUUUAGAUAGGAAAUUCAGUUAUGUACCGGAAGAACUGAGCGAGGACGGACAUGUUCUUCAAAUGGUUUAAGGUCGUUUUGACUCCUUUGACUGUUUCUAUCAACACCGUUCACAGCCACCAUGUCCUCUUUUCCUCCUGCCCCGGUUUUUUUUUUCUCAAGGUAGGAAUAUCAACCAAGUAAUGGAGAAAUCAAAUCUGAAAGGAAUGUCUCACAGGCUAAGGAACUCACUCAGCAAGAGAUGAUGGAAGGAUUCUAAGGCAACAUCAGCAAGGAAGAAAAGAAUCCUUUUGAAAAACUUUGUUUGCAUGCCUAAAGAGACCCAGGUGACUGAGGCAAAAAAGAACUCUGAACCUUAAAGAAAAAUGGGUCUACAUAAUGACUAUUGCAACUCAAGAGACAUGGAAGUAUGUAAUGAAAAGGAAUCCUUCUACAAUAAGAAAAGUGUCAUUUACAUUUUUUCCCCGAUUCUCUGAGGACAUCAGACUUGGAGUGACAAAGAGGCUUGGAGUGAACCAGAAUGAGAGCUUGACAGGAAGAGGAACAUGUGUCCUGUCUACCUAAAGAAACCCCAAACCCAAACGAAAGAAACAGAAAGUUUGUAUGUGCUCUGAAAUAAAAUAGAUGUUACUCCA